rnacentral:rRNA from 1 species
UACGUAGGGGGCAAGCGUUGUCCGGAUUUACUGGGCGUAAAGAGCGUGUAGGCGGCCACGCAGGUCCGUUGUGAAAACUGGAGGCUCAACCUCCAGCUGUCGACGGAAACCGUAUGGCUAGAGUCCGGAAGAGGAGAGUGGAAUUCCUGGUGUAGCGGUGAAAAUGCGCAGAUAUCAGGAAGAACACCAAUGGCGAAGGCAGCUCGCUGGGACGUGACUGACGCUGAGACGCGAAAGCGUGGGGAGCAAACAGG